AAUAGAUACCCCGGUAGUCCACGCCGUAAACGAUGAAUGCCAGCUGUUGGGGUGCUUGCACCUCAGUAGCGCAGCUAACGCUUUGAGCAUUCCGCCUGGGGAGUACGGUCGCAAGAUUAAAACUCGAAAGGAAUUGACGGGGGCCCGCACAAGCGGUGGUAGCAUGUGGUUUAAUUCGAAGCAACGCGCAGAACCUUACCAUCCUUUGACAUGGCGUGUUACGUGGAGAGAUCCACGGUCCUCUUCGGAGGCGCGCACACAGGUGCUGCAUGGCUGUCGUCAGCUCGUGUCGUGAGAUGUUGGGUUAAGUCCCGCAACGAGCGCAACCCACGUCCUUAGUUGCCAUCAUUCAGUUGGGCACUCUAGGGGAGACUGCCGGUGAUAGGCCGCGAGGAAGGUGUGGAUGACGUCAAGUCCUCAUGGCCCCUUACGGGGAUGGGGCUACACGACGUGCCUACAAUGGCGGUGACAGUGGGACGCGAAGGAGCGAUCUGGAGCAAAUCCCCAAAAGCCGU
rnacentral:rRNA from 1 species